rnacentral:rRNA from 1 species
UGGGGAAUUUUGGACAAUGGGCGCAAGCCUGAUCCAGCAAUGCCGCGUGAGUGAAGAAGGCCUUCGGGUUGUAAAGCUCUUUUAGUUGAAAAGAAAAAACAGUGAUUAAUAAUCGCUGUUUAUGACGGUAUCAACAGAAAAAGCACCGGCUAACUACGUGCCAGCAGCCGCGGUAAUACGUAGGGUGCGAGCGUUAAUCGGAAUUACUGGGCGUAAAGGGUGCGUAGGCGGUUUUGUAAGUCAGAUGUGAAAUCCCCGGGCUUAACCUGGGAAUUGCGUUUGAAACUGCAGAUCUAGAGUGCGGCAGAGGGAGGUGGAAUUCCAUGUGUAGCAGUGAAAUGCGUAGAGAUAUGGAGGAACAUCGAUGGCGAAGGCAGCCUCCUGGGCUAGCACUGACGCUCAUGCACGAAAGCGUGGGGAGCAAACA